rnacentral:rRNA from 1 species
GCUACAGGCUUAACACAUGCAAGUCGAGGGGCAGCAUGGUCUUAGCUUGCUAAGACUGAUGGCGACCGGCGCACGGGUGAGUAACACGUAUCCAACCUGCCUUAUACUCCCGGACAGCCUUCUGAAAGGAAGAUUAAUACGGGAUGGUAUCACGAGCCAGCAUUUUCUCGUGAUUAAAGAACUUCGGUAUAAGAUGGGGAUGCGUUCCAUUAGAUAGUAGGCGGGGUAACGGCCCACCUAGUCUACGAUGGAUAGGGGUUCUGAGAGGAAGGUCCCCCACAUUGGAACUGAGACACGGUCCAAACUCCUACGGGAGGCAGCAGUGAGGAAUAUUGGUCAAUGGGCGCGAGCCUGAACCAGCCAAGUAGCGUGAAGGAUGACUGCCCUACGGGUUGUAAACUUCUUUUAUAAAGGAAUAAAGUGAGGCACGUGUGCCUUUUUGUAUGUACUUUAUGAAUAAGGAUCGGCUAACUCCGUGCCAGCAGCCGCGGUAAUACGGAGGAUCCGAGCGUUAUCCGGAUUUAUUGGGUUUAAAGGGAGCGUAGAUGGGUUGUUAAGUCAGUUGUGAAAGUUUGCGGCUCAACCGUAAAAUUGCAAUUGAUACUGGCAGCCUUGAGUACAGUUGAGGUAGGCGGAAUUCGUGGUGUAGCGGUGAAAUGCUUAGAUAUCACGAAGAACUCCGAUUGCGAAGGCAGCUUACUAAACUGCCACUGACAUUGAUGCUCGAAAGUGUGGGUAU